UCCCGCACUCUCCUCCCCCUCCUGCCUCUUCUCUUACCCGCCUCCUCCUCCUGUCGCCGCCGCCGCCGCCUCCGCUCCUGCUGUCGCCGCCUCGCCGCCCCAAACCCCUGCCGCAGCGGAGAGAAAUCCAUGUCGGUGGACAAGCCCGACGGCGGGGGGGUCUCCUCCUCUCCUUCUCUGUGCUGGGGCGGGCAGGGCGCGGACAAGGACAAGGGGCUGCAGGAGGUGAAGAACAGCUACGCCUCGGUGGACGAGUACCUAGGCGUCUUCGAGCCGCUGCUCUUCGAGGAGGGCAAACCGCAGAUCCUCCAGGGUCGCAGAAACGAGGACGAGGGGGAGGAGGAGGAUGAGAUUAGCCUGGACUAGCAGAGAGGGGUGGUGAGAUCAUCUGCGGAGUCCGAGGGUUUCCACAAGUUGUCCAUGCUGGAGACCGAUGGCCUCCGCGACAUUGUGUCACUGCCAGAGAAUGUCCUCCUCCUGCUCUCCAAAGAGAAAGUAAGUUUCAUGCUAGCAGGAAGCAGACAACAUCCCAGCCAAUUUAGUGGAUAUUAUAUUGUGCUGACUGCCGAACACUCAAUCUGUUUGUUGUUUGAAAACAAUAAACAUUUGCUACAAAUGUACAUACCAUAUUAAGUAUGGAUGUUUUCAGAUAAAUUCUUAGGGUAAUUCGAUCAGUCCAUCAGAUCUAUGUAGCAUAAGUCUUGAUUGCAUUUUCCCCAUAGUUACUGUGCACCAUACUUAUGCAUAUAUUGUUUGGGUUGAUUCCUACACCGAGUCGUGUUGCUGUACAAAUAACUCACUUGUUUGGCGGUGCCAUGGUGUCCCUCUCCAGGUUAGCUGAAACCUUCUUCCCCCAUCAUUCCUCAUAUUUGCUUUUCAUAAUUUACACACUGAGUUGUAGGUUAGUCGGAAAUGUUGCAUGAGGCAGAACAAGAAUAAGAGCAUUUGUCAGCCUUUUCAUGUGCAGGUUCAGCAGCGGGCAAUGCUCGAGUUAAGAGUUGGGUGCAUAGCAUAUAUAUACAUAUGAAACGGAUGUGAGCAGCAGCAGAGAGGGGAUAUCUAUUUGACUGUCAUCCUUCCCUGACUUGGGUUUGUCAUCCCCGUCAGCGUCCGCUUCCUUCAUUGGUCGUCGCUUGUUUGUACAAUAGUGUCGCUAGGAAUAGUGCAGAGGCAGCGGGUUUCUUUUCUUCCAUAAUGUACUUUGAUUAGUGUCUUGAAACACCAGAUUGGAGAUUUCUAGCUAGAGAAAGAGAAUGAAAUACAUAUACUAAUAUCAUUGAUUUUACAUGCUCAGUACAGUAGAAAGAAUUGCAAGAAUUUGUAUGACAAUUUUGAAUUCUCUUCAGAAUGAACGGGUCAUAUGCUAAAGCAAACAAUUUAUGUAUUGUUUUCUAGGAGUUUGGAUCAUUGUGAGAACAUUUUUUAGGAGUUUGGACUACUCGCCGCUUGUAGCGCCCCACGAGGGCCGCUUGCUCUGCAGGUGCCUCCCGGCACUUGGUUUAAUCUCUCUUGAUGCUAAAUGCUUGAUGAUGCGCCUCUUUGAAAUAGAACAUAGGAUCUGGUACCAAUCUGUCAUGCUAGCAUGUACGUGUUCUUUCUUAGGAUUCUUAUGAAUAUUUAGGGGUUUUAGCUAUGUUGUUGAUCAAGUACGGGUGCUCGUACCUGGUUAAGUCAUUAAAAUAAGAAUCAAUAAUUAAUUUUACAGCACUGAGAAUUCCGGAGUUGUGCUCUCUCUUUGAUCAUUUGGCGGCUUCAAUAUAUCUGAUAUCUCUUUUUUGUUAUAUAUAUUUAUCUUUUCGACCUUAAUUCAGAAGCACCAUUUCAUGAUGUUAUUUCUCUAGGACUGUAACUUAUGGGCUGUGGAUGCAGGAUUAAGGACAUGUACCUGCACUACAACGAGAGAUCUGGGCUGCUGUCCCCGCUGAUUGCCGAGGAUAUCUACAAAGUCAUCAUGAAGGAACAUAAGAUUAAGAAAAGAUAUCCAUGAUGUUUGGUACCUUACAGAGGAUGCAUUACGCGAUGCUCUCAGCAAUUUCGGCAAGAUUUUAUAGUCAUGAUUUAUCCGUAUUGAUAUGGAUUCUAGAACCUUAUAGGAAAAUGUUGUCUUUCACAAGAUGAAACAAAGCGUGCAGAGAUGCUGAGGGAGGCCCUGCCGUGGACUGGCCGAGACUGUCGAGCAUCGUGUUGAAAAUCUUAAGAGGUACAUGCCUAAACGGGGCUCAUUGGUAACCUGGCCUCCUUUUGGUAUAUCAGUGAGGACAUUUCGUCCAGUGUCCGCCUCUUCGUCCGUCUCUUCAAGCCAUCGUCGAACGUCGUCACCCGCCAUCUUGCUUGCUACCUGCUUGCCAGAGAGCAAUGGCUUUCCUCGCUAUAGUCGUUGCUUCUGUGUUCUGUUAGGGGGUUGGGCAGCUUGGGCUUGCUGGUGCUGGGAGGUGUUGGUUUUGUCUCCUUUCCUCGUGUGUGUUGCCUUUGAAUCUCAGACGGGUGCUAACAAUAUAUGAUUGAUGGCAAAAUCCAUCUUUCCAUUUAAAGGAUGAUCCCUUGAUCGUUUUCUUUUUGCAGGAUGUUGAGCAGGCCUGCCUUAUUAUGAAACCUGGCGAUUUAGCGGUACCACGCUGGCUGACCAAGAGGAGGAAACCCUCCCGUGUUGCUCCGCCUCCACUCUCCCUCCUCCGAUGCAUACUUGAUGGGAACAGUUAGCUCAUGUCUCUUAGAUAAUACUCCCUCCGUCCGAAUAAUGUAGGACGUUUUUGCAAGCUAUGUUAGCUUGCAAAAAUGUCUUAUAUUGUGAGACGGAGGGAGUGCUUUUUUUGCCAGAAGUCUCUUAGAUAAUACUUGGUGAGGCGUGUGCAGGCAUCUUAGUACAUGUUUCUGCACCCCUAGACUCACUCUCCCAACACUGUAUUCAAGGCUCAUUGAGGAUAAGUGCUUCAAGAUGCCUCCUACUCCUAAUGCACAUAAGUGCACUUGUGUCACUUGCCUCGUGAGAUUAUUGUUCACGACCUGAUCAUUUGUUAUGUUAUCCAUUAUCCAAAUGCAUGGCAGGUCUUUCUGAGAGAAUUAAAUAUGCUAUUGAGAA